rnacentral:tRNA from 1 species
AAGAAGUUAGUUAAUAUAUAACCUUCGCUUGUCAUGCGUAAAUAAUCUUUCUGAAGAUACUUCUUA